GAUUAAGAACGUAGCGAAAUGCGAUAAGUAAUGUGAAUUGCAGAAUUCAGUGAAUCAUCGAAUCUUUGAACGCACAUUGCGCCCGGCAGUACUCUGCCGGGCAUGCCUGUUCGAGCGUCAUUUCAACCCUCAAGCCCUGCUUGGUGUUGGGGUCCCACGGCCGCCGUGGGCCCUGAAAGGAAGUGGCGGGCUCGCUACAACUCCGAGCGUAGUAAUUCAUUAUCUCGCUUAGGGCGUUGGGCGGCGCUCCUGCCGUUAAAGAACCAUCUUUAACUCAAGGUUGACCUCGGAUCAGGUAGGAAUACCCGCUGAACUUAAGCAUAUCAAUAAGCGGAGGA
rnacentral:misc_RNA from 1 species